ensembl:snoRNA SNORD58 Small nucleolar RNA SNORD58
CUGCAGUGAUGACCAUCUUAGGACACCUUUGGAUAAAAGAUGAAACUAAUCAUUUGUCUGAGCUCC